rnacentral:rRNA from 1 species
UGAAUACGAAAUGCUACGGCAUUGAAGUGAUCUAUGCCAGGCUUCCAAGAAAAUCUCGUCAUAUCUUAAGCAGUAGAUGCCUGUACCUUAAACCGACACAGGUAGGUAGGUAGAGUAUACCAAGGGGCGCGAGAUAACUCUCUCUAAGGAACUCGGCAAAAUAACCUCGUAACUUCGGAAGAAGAGGUACCCUUGAAAAAGGGUUGCAAUAACCAGACCCUGGCGACUGUUUACCAAAAACACAGGUCUCCGCUAAUUCGUAAGAUCAAGUAUGGAGGCUGACGCCUGCCCAGUGCCGGAAGGUUAAAGAAGUUGGUCAAUCUUUGGAUGAAGCUGGCGACUGGAGCCCCGGUGAACGGCGGCCGUAACAAUAACGGUCCUAAGGUAGCGAAGUUCCUUGUCGGGUAAGUUCCGACCCGCACGAAAGGCGUAACGAUCAGGGUGCUGUCUCGGAGAGAGACUCGGCGAAAUAGACAUGUCUGUGAAGAUGCGGACUACCUACACCUGGACAGAAAGACCCUAUGAAGCUUUACUGUAUCUUGGAAUUGGGUUUGGGCCUUGCUUGCGCAGGAUAGGUGGGACGCUGUGAAGAUAUUCUUGCGGGAAUGUUGGAGCCAACGGUGAGAUACCACUCUAGUAAGGCUAAAAUUCUAACUCUGAACCGUUAUCCGGUCAGAGAACAGUUUCAGGUGGGCAGUUUGACUGGGGCGGUCGCCUCCUAAAAUGUAACGGAGGCGCGCAAAGGUUCCCUCAGGCUGGUUGGACAUCAGUCGUAGAGUGUAAAGGCAUAAGGGAGCUUGACUGCGAGACCCACAAGUCGAGCAGAGACGAAAGUCGGCCUUAGUGAUCCGACGGUUCCACGUGGAAGGGCCGUCGCUCAACGGAUAAAAGUUACUCUAGGAUAACAGGCUGAUCUCCCCCAAGAGUUCACAUCGACGGGGAGGUUUGGCACCUCGAUGUCGGCUCAUCGCAUCCUGGGGCGGUAGUACGUCCCAAGGGUUGGGCUGUUCGCCCAUGAAAGCGGUACGCGAGCUGGGUUCAGAACGUCGUGAGACAGUUCGGUCCAUAUCCGGUGCGGGCGUUAGAGCAUUGAGAGGAGUCCCCCUUAGUACGAGAGGACCGGGGGGAAUACACCGCUGGUGUACCAGUUAUCGUGCCAACGGUAAACGCUGGGUAGCCAUGUGUAGCGCGGAUAAUUGCUGAAAGCAUCUAAGUAGGAAGCCCACCUUAAGAUGAGUGCUCUCACCGCUAUAAGCGGGUAAGGUCACGGUAAGAACAACCGUUAUAUAGGCAUUAAGUAUACGUGCAGUAAUGCAUUUAGCUGAGAUGUACUAACAGACCGAGGGC